rnacentral:rRNA from 1 species
CGUAACACGUAUGUAACCUACCUUUGUCAGGGGGAUAGCCUCUCGAAAGAGAGAUUAAGCCCGCAUAACAUUACACCAUGGCAUCAUGAAGUAAUCAAAUAUUUAUAGGACAAAGAUGGGCAUGCGGAACAUUAGCUAGUUGGUAAGGUAACGGCUUACCAAGGCUACGAUGUUUAGGGGAUCUGAGAGGAUGGCCCCCCACACUGGUACUGAGACACGGACCAG